rnacentral:rRNA from 1 species
CCUAGGGAGGCAGCAGUGAGGAAUAUUGGUCAAUGGGCGGGAGCCUGAACCAGCCAAGCCGCGUGAGGGAAGAAGGUACAGCGUAUCGUAAACCUCUUUUGUCAGGGAACAAAGGCGGGGACUAGUCCCCGGAUGCGGGUACCUGAAGAAAAAGCAUCGGCUAACUCCGUGCCAGCAGCCGCGGUAAUACGGGGGAUGCGGGCGUUAUCCGGAUUGAAUGGGUUAAAGGGGUGCGCAGGCGGCCUGUUAAGGCAGCGGUAAAAGCCCGGGGCUCAACCCUGGCGAGCCGUUGAAAGUGGCGGGCUGGAGUUGGAGAGAGGUACGCGGAAUGCGCGGUGUAGCGGUGAAAUGCUUAGAUAUCGCGCAGAACCCCGAUUGCGAAGGCAGCGUACCGGCUCCAAACUGACGCUGAGGCACGAAAGCGUGGGUAUCGAACAGGAUUAGAUACCCGAGUAGUC